GCUACGAAAUCUCUGGACAUAUUUAGACAUUUCUCGGUCAAGAGAGAUUGCACUGAUGGAGGAGACGACUGUCUGUUGAAGUCCCUUGGCUGGAUUUAUGCAGAAGUCCAGUGAAACGGUCUUGUUUUAGACUGAAAUCAUGCUGCCUGGGAACAAUAAGGAGUCACAACGUAUUUCCAUGAUGAAAAGAACAAGGAGGAAAAAGGACCAAGAUUCGAGCAUUGAUCCUGUCACUACUCGUGUGAGAAGAAGCAGCUUGCCUGACCAUCAAUUUCCAGAGACCUUAUAAAAGUGCAGGGGUUAUCUGGUAAAUGCUGUUGAUGUGAAAGGAUUAAGCCUUGAAGAAUAUAUGGCACUCCCUUUGCUCUGUUUUUCUGAAUCUGAAGAGGCCAUCACUGUGGAUGAGGAUGGUACCUACUUUAUCUACUUAGCCAAUGGCAGAACACAGGGAACCAGAUGACAGCUGGGCCUCCUGAGUCCCUCUAGGAUAAGAAGAUUGAGAAAUGCUGCUCCAGAGGUUGUGGAAAUAGAGUGUAAGGGACCCAAAGAAUCAGCUGUCAGCGAGUGGGAUCCCCUCCCACCAUCCUCAAAUCAUUGAUGCACAGCCUGCCCUUCAACUGUCCUGGAAAUAUGUAAGCUUCCCUUUUAUAAGAGCGGAGAUUGUGGACCCAGGAGAUGGACAUACACGGAAAUGAAGAUAAGGCAAUGCAAGACAAGGUACAUCUGUUCUGAUCCAUCCUGAGACCUAGAUCUGACCUGGAUAGAAAGAGCAACAAUGGGAAGAAGCUAAAGGGAUCCUAAGAAGGAAUAUUAUAAAACUUUGGGAAAGAAGUGCUAAUUUAGAGGUCCUCAUGGCAGAAUUUCACAGAGGACAUGAAUGUUUGUAUCCCUGAGUUGCCACAUAAGAGUCCAGCUAGUCAUGCCACCAUGUUGGAGAGAUUAUGAGGAGAGAUACAUAGAGACAGAGCAAGAUGCCCAAGAAGCCCAUCUUAGUUGUGGCAUAGACACUGAGGCUUGACAUACCAUCUCCUUUUCCAGAACCAGUUGUCGGCAGCUAUUAUAAUUAUUUUAUCAGAAGAACACAAUUUACUUUGGUGUAGUUUUUGUGAUGACUUCAACAGGUGAUUAGAAAAAGCUGCUGAUGCAUAACCUCAGCUUCCUAAAGCAUAACUUCCUGAUAUAGCCAUUCUGAUAGAGCACCUAACGCUUAGUGACCAGAACUGAUUGAUGGGUUUGGCAAAGCCUGAGAGCAGAAGAAUCACAGCUCAGGUAUUUCUUUCCUUUCCGGUUCUUUGUCAGUGGAAUAUAAAUCGGUUUAGUAAUUCAGCACUUAACUUGAGAUGCCAACUUGUUACCAUAGAGACCACGAGUCAGCACUUCUAAUGACUGAAUCAUAGGCACACUUUAGGCUUUCCAAACUGUACAUUAAAUUCUGUUAAAAUAGCCUAUAGUAUCCCAAGUUUUAUCUGGCAUUAUCUUAGGUGGAUUCCCCAAAGAGUAGACUGAGACAGAGAUUUGUGUGCAGUAGGUUUAUUUGGGAGUGCUGUGCAGAACACCUGUGACCUAGUGCAGAAAGCAGAAUUGGCCAGAGGGAGAAGCCGCACUGCGAUGCAGUCACAGGCUUCAGCUGAUGGCAUGGGGAGCUCUUCAGAUGGCGCUUUAUAGUUGUCCUGGUUGAAGCAAAGGGGUUUUUGUGUCCCUGCAUCAAGUCAUUGGAUAUGGGCCAACACAGAAGAGGAGGUGUAGCUUUCAGCUGGGCAACUUCCUUCUGUGGAGGACAAUGCUGGGGAAGAGUCUCAGCUGUAAGCAAUCUGCAGCCAAAACUCCUGGCAACUGGAGGAUCUCAUGCCUCUACCCGAAGGAGGAUUCUGCGUGGUAUGGCACAGCACCCGCUAUAAGAGUGGUAUAAAUUGCUAGUAAAAUUAUUGGAAGCCUGUACAGGGUUAUCUCCUAUCAAAGCCAUUACCUCCUUGUAUUGUCCCCAAAUGAUCUGUCCACUUGGACUGUUGUUUCCCUACCUCCAACUGUCAAAGGCAUAUUUUUCCUUAAGGAUUCAGCUCAAAUACCAUCUAGGAAAAUCCUCUGAGGAUGUAUCUCUUGAUGAUGUCCACAGCCAUGAUUUUUUUCUUCUUUUGGGCUUCCCUGGGACUCUGCACCAAUCCUGUGUUACAAGUUUGCCUUAUAUGAGGAAAAGGUCCUUUAAGUGAAUGACUGUAGGGUUGCUUCUCAAGCAAGGCAUAGAGAAACUAGGAUGGAAGAUGGUGGGGUCGGGGGGAAUAACAGGAGGGAUUCCGAUGGGACACUCUAGUGCCAUUUGUUUUUCUGGGGUCCCACACAGAUGACACUAUGCCUGUGAGUCCCAGACUAUCUUGUUGACCCAUUUUAUGUCUUGUAAGUUAGAGUCUUCUCUCUUUUCACCAUAUUCUAUUGAUUGUUUCCCCAAUAUUAUUCUUAAAGUUCUAGUCAAGGAUUGUUUAAAUGUUCCAUUCUUGACUUGGCCUUAUUUCAGAGCCUUAAAGGGAGAACAGAUCAUUUCAAUUCCUUCUCAGGCUUUCUGUCCCCACUCUCCACCUGACUCUAUCCGCACCCACAGCUGAAUCCUGCAUGGUGGUUGUGCUAUUACUUAUUGAGGUAUUUGUCAGAGGGAGAGGGAAAUGUCAGAGAGUAAAAGUCUGGGCUGUUAGGUCUAACUGUUAUUUUACAAGUAAAAAUGCUACCUACAGAGUCAACCUCUGAUAAUCUGUUUUAAUUUUUAUUUUGCAGGAAAGCAAUUUCUUUAUACUUUGAAUUAAAAUCAUUCAUAUACCUAUUUUAUUUCCUCAUUAGACCUUAAUUUAUUUGAGAUAAAGAAUAAAUUUAAGAAAAUCAUCAGAAGCCUUAAUUUCUCCAUUUGCAAAAUGAGUGGCUAUAAUUCCUCCAGGGCCCUUCCCUCUGUAGAAGUUGCUGAUUUUAUGUGAGUCAGCCUAAAAUGAUAGGAUGUCACAAUUCUAGAAGAGUUGAGAAUACCUUAUUCUCCAGUUUCCAUAUUAGUUUGCUGGCAGAUAUGCUGCCUACAUCUUUUUGUUACUGUCAAGUAAAAUAACUGCUCUGGAAUAGAGGGCAAGAAUAACACAAAGAAAGUUAAAGAAAUUUCACAACAGCCAUCAUCAGGAAUUCAGGGGCAAUUUGACUUACAGCAGCUUGAAAUUUUAAAAGAAAAACAGAAAAUGCAGUCUGUUUUUUCAUUUGCUUUCUGUUUCUUCUUUAAACAAGCAUACUCUAUCUCCCCAAAGAUUUUCCCCUAGAAAGAAAACACAUUGCACAGCUUGACCUCUAAUUUAAAUCAUAAUUAAGCUUCCAGUUAAUCCCCCAGUGUUCCGUUAAAUCCCCUUAUCCUCUUAAACAGCAUGACCCCAGUUUUAUUUUCCCCAGACAUAAAAUGCUGAAUUAUAGCUUAUUUGUGAGUUUCAUGAAUAAGACUAAUUUGACUGCCGUUUGCAGAGAAAUUCUCACCAGGUUAUUACACUUCUAGAUCCCAUUAACUAAUAAAAAUAUACAAAAUAAAAAUUAUUCUAAAUUAGUCUUCCAAGCAGAAUCGCU